rnacentral:misc_RNA from 1 species
GAUGAAGAACGCAGCGAAAUGCGAUAAGUAAUGUGAAUUGCAGAAUUCAGUGAAUCAUCGAAUCUUUGAACGCACAUUGCGCUCUCUGGUAUUCCGGAGAGCAUGCUUGUUUGAGUAUCAGUAAACACCUCAACUUCCAUAUCUUUUUUGAAAUGGGAGUUGGACUUGAGUGAUCCCAACGCUUUUCCUCACCGAAAAGUGGCGGGUUACUUGAAAUGCAGGUGCAGCUGGACUUUUCUCUGAGCUAUAAGCAUAUCUAUUUAGUCUGCCUAAAAAACAGAUUAUUACCUUUGCUGCAGCUAACAUAAAGGAGAUUAGUUCUUGUGCUGACUGAUGCAGGAUUCACAAAGACGGCUUCGGCCGACUUUGUAAACUCGAUCUCAAAUCAAGUAAGACUACCCGCUGAACUUAAGCAUAUCAAUAAGCGGAGGA